AUGGGCAAUCGAGCAAGUGAACAAGCGCUACAGAGCAUUUUUUGGGAAGGAUCAGAAGCGAUCCACGGAGGGAAGUGCCUAGUGGCCCGGCAAAGAGUGUGCAGGCCUAAGGAGCUAGGUGGACUUGGGCUGCUAGACUUAAACUGUCAAGGUCUGGCCUUAAGAUUGCGUUGGGAGUGGCUUAGGCGUACUGAUUCAAGCCGGCCAUGGCAUGGGCUCCCAAUGGCCAAGGAUCCACAAGUACAUGCGGCUUUUGACAGUCUGGUUCAUUGGAAACUUGGGGACGGAAAUAAGGUGUUGUUUUGGAAAGAUAGAUGGAUGGGUGAUAAGGACAUGAAAACGGUUCAAUCCUUAGAGUCGAGGACGACUCCUUUUCAAGAGAGGGAGGAUGAUGAGGACAUCCCAACCAUGGAUACCACACCACCAACCAUCAACGGUCCAAUCACAAGAAGUCGCGCAAUGCAAAUACAUUAUCAGGUGAACGCUAACUUAAGUCUAUCAUUUGACCUUCAAAACAUGGUUGUGCCUUCACUUCCUUUGUUGUUGGUUGAACUCAGGUGCGAUAUCGAAGAAGGCCAAACACAUUUCAGUCCGUGCAAAACAAUGUUUUAUGGCGAGGAAACAAAGUUAGGAAUCCAUGAAGAAUGA
rnacentral:rRNA from 1 species